rnacentral:ncRNA from 1 species
AAUAAUCACAACGAUUACUUAACGAGCACACUGCAGAAAACCUCACAUAGUAGUGCUAAAAAUAGUGGGGUGGUGGGUCCGGCUGUAGCAUUUACAACGACGGGCCAC